UCCCUUGUGGCUCAGUUGGUAGAGCAUGGUGUUUGCAACGCCAGGGUUGUGGGUUCGAUUCCCACGGGGGAC
rfam:Salmo salar isolate Sally breed double haploid chromosome ssa21, whole genome shotgun sequence.